AAAGAACGAAAGAAUAAGAUAGAAAGGAAUGAAAAAACAGUCAGGAUUAAUUGAUUAAUUUGGUGUGGUCCUUCGAUUUUUCAAAUUCAUU
rnacentral:ribozyme from 1 species